GGCCCCUUCGUCUAGUGGUUAGGACUCAGGACUUUCAUUCCUGCAACAGGGGUUCGAAUCCCCUAGGGGUCA
rnacentral:tRNA from 1 species